AUUCCACACAAACCCAUUCCCUGUUCGUCACAACACGAAUACACAAAACUCUGAAACGGUGAAACCGAGCUAUAAGCCGCAGGGCAUAACCCUGUUCGACACAAACCCAGACUCUACUGUCAAAUACUUGUGCUUUCUACUUCUUCUCUCACUGUGUGAGAGUCUACUGGCUACCCUUGAGAAAUCUCACUGUUAUGGCUGUUAUCACAGUCAUCGGCAUGGAGUUGCUGCUUGACAAGCAGUCGCCGAGCCCAUGAGUGUUUGAUGGUGGUCGUCGAGAUUCUUCGAUCUCCUUGGCGCAGAGGAGCCUUUGAUGGUUUUUCUUCCCUGUUGUUUCUAAUAAGUCCACAAGAGAAGCAGAAGGCCUACGUGAGUAUUCGUAAUGAUGACCCACAUUGCCAAAUCCAAUUUGAAACACCCACAAGCUUUGUUUUCUACAUUUCGAUGCCAAUCAACGUCUGCGCAGUACGUAGCAUCAAGAGCCAGAGAUCCCACGUUUGAGAAACUAAUGCACAAGUUCAAGAACUUCCUCAAAGUGAUUGCUGUUCAGGACCUUAUCCUCGCAAACCCAAACAAGAACCCUCCUUCUGUCUCCCUUGAUUUUCUCAACAGGCUCUCUCAGAAGCUACACCUCAACCGUGGUGCCACAUCCUUCCUCCGCAAGUACCCUCACAUCUUCCAAAUCUGCUACAACCCCACCAAGGCCCAGCCGUUCUGCAAGCUAACAGAUAUGGCAAUUCAAAUCUCCCGCCAAGAAGCGGAAGCAAUAAAUGCUUCCUUACCAGUUGUCAUUGACCGGCUGGUUAGGCUACUAUCCAUGUCUGCAUCUAGAUCAUUGCCUCUGCGUGCAAUUUUUAAGAUUUGGAGGGAGCUUGGACUCCCUGAUGACUUUGAGGACUCGGUUAUAUCCAGUCAUUCUGAUCUCUUCAGGCUUUCUCCUGGAAAUGAACCAAAUACCCAUGUGCUUGAACUGGUGAAAGAAUUUUCUUCUAACCAUUUUACAGCCGCUGUUGAGAAUUGGAGGGUUUUGGAGUGUUGUAGGGAGGAUUGCAGUGUUGAGAGAACAGAAAUUCAGUUUAGUUUUAAGCAUCUGUAUCCUCCAGGGAUGAGAUUAAGCCAGAACUUUAAAGCCAAAGUCAAGGAAUGGCAAAGGAUACCCUAUGUGGGGCCAUAUGAAGAUGUAGGAAAAACGAAAAAUACUAAAGCAGGAAAGGUGGGAUUGGAGAAACGGGCAGUUGCAACUGUUCAUGAAUUCUUGAGUUUGACAGUGGAGAAGAUGGUGGAGGUGGAGAAGAUCAGUCAUUUCCGGAAAUGUUUUGGGAUUGAUUUGAAUAUAAGAGACUUGUUUUUGGACCAUCCAGGAAUAUUUUACUUGUCAACCAAGGGGAAGAGACAUACAGUUUUUCUGAGAGAAGCUUAUGAGAGAGGAUGUUUGAUUGAUCCUAAUCCUGUGUAUGAUACAAGGAGAAAGCUUCUUGAUCUUGUCAUUCUGGGACGCCACGACUUGAUUGCCUGUGAUUCAAAGUUAGCAGGCAAUGCCGGGACUGAGGAAGAUAGUUCGCAAGAUGAUAAUACCGAAUGAAGGGUUUGGAGAUGGAACUGGCAUCUGAGAACACCCAAACCUCAAAUGAAUUCCUCCUAUUCACUGAAUCACUGGAGGCAACUUCGGGAGCUGAUUGCCAGUUCUGUAUCAAGCGGAAACUGCGGGAACCAUUUGUUUGGUUCUGAUGAGUCCCGUAAGUAUGCUUAUAAGGCGUAAGGCAGUGAGGGAUGUGUCUCUCAUAGUUCCGGCUUUCCUUAUGUUUGGUUGCGGGAAAAUGUGGCAGAAUUAGAGGAAGUUUUUCCCCCUAGUGGUUUGAACAUUUUUCUUGACAAAGAGAUACCCUUUUGAAUGAUUAUCAAACUUGGGAAAGAAAUGAUGUCUCGGUCAUUCUCGGAUUUGUUGGCAUGUGAAGUUGAUGAUUUUCUUUACUAUGGCAGAUGCUUUCUAGUGGAUUGUACAUGGUUGGUUUGGUCAAGCAUCGUUUUUUGUACGACUAAACCUCAGAACUUGCAUUCUUUAUUCAUCUGAUCAUCUUUGGUCACGUAUGGUUGAUUCACCUUGCUGUUCUACUUCAAAUGAGUAAUUACUGCAGCUUGGUUUAGUAAAGGUUGAAAUUUUUUCAUAGAUUUGAUUAUCACCAGAAUGAUUGGGAAAUCUUGAAUAGUGAAAAUACUUCUCAUGCUUAUGUUGUUAGAAUUUUUGUUUCUGCUUUAUGAGUUUUUUCUUUUUCUUUUCUUCCUUUUUUAUAAUGUGUGAAAGACAUGCAAUUGCCAACUGGAUUGGGUUGGUGCUUGCUGGAAUGAAAGCAAAGAUUCACGCAUUACACUUAUGGGGGUUUUUUUUUUUUGUGAACUUUUCUUUUAAUAUCUGUUACCCUCUCUUCUGUCGGGAAAAAAGUCUCUCUAAUUUUGUUCUUCAUGUGUAUACAUAUUUUCGCGACUUAUGCACUUAAGUUUUUUAUCUUUUUCUUUGAGUGCAAAGAAAUUUUAUGCAGGGGCACAAAGAGAGUGCCACUCAAAGAAAGAGUGCAAGGAAGAACAAGAACAGAAAAGUAAAAAACAACUGAAAGGAAAACAAGGCCCGUCAAGUUUUGAUCAUGGAGAGCCAAGAUUAAUGUUAUUAUUAAUAACAUUGUUAUGCUUGCAGAUUAAGAUAUGAAUUUAUGAUUCUUUUGGAUGCCAAAUGGCAAUUGCGAAUUACAUUCAUUUCAAAUUUUUACCUCAGUACAUUCGAUUUGAUCUGUGUUCUAUUUAAGGCCUGACUAAGUACUGAUCAUUGCAGAUAAGCGCUUAGUUGUUGCAUGUUAUUGAUAAUUUUGUGUUUUGCCUUGCCAUGGAUUUACCAUAUGUUAUAUGGACUUUGAUGCUCUUAUUUCCAUUUUCAAUGACUAGUCUAAUUAUGAACUCUGAUCUGAUAAUGUUUGGUUGUCUAGUAUGUGCUAUAUGCCGAAGGGUGUCAACCUGCUGAAGGUAUUGCAAUUUACAAGUCAGCACCUAAGCCUGCUCUUGAGCCCUUCGCUGAUGUACAAAGAAAAUCUCAAUGACCAAACUGGAAGGGUUGAUUGCCCUACAGCAACGGUCAUCUGAAUUGAGUAUGGCAUCAUCUAUUACACAUUUUCACUU